rnacentral:lncRNA from 1 species
AUAACAUUCCACAUCUAUCAGUUAAAAUGUUUCCUCCCUGGAAACUGAUUUUGAAAUACUAAAUCCAUAAAACCACAGAAAAGUCAAUUUGAAAACUGUUCCCCACACGAGAACCAUUCUUUUUCAAAACCAGCUACCACGAGGGGUAGAAAACUGUUUUAUUUCGAGAAAACACCAAUCUUUUAGCUCAUUCCAAAACCAGUUGAAAAUCCAGAUGAUCAGAUAAUAAAACAAAACUGAACCAUGUAAACCGUCUAAGCUAUAUGUAUCCACAGAAAUAAUGAGGGUAAUAACUAAAUCGAGAUAACCUGGGUCGGAAGCUCUAUCGACCGCUACACGCGUAUCUCACGUCUCGUCCUACUACUCAUCGCCCGCGAUACCUGAAACAUGGUGGGGGAGGUGAGAACAUGUAAACAUGUCUCCCCUCCCAGUGGGUACCGCAAGCCGAAGAAGGCGAGGUGUACUCACCGGAUCAGGAAGAGAUAACUAACAGUAUGGGUAAGUAAAAUACAGUAGCAACGAUAAUGAACGAACGAGAUAUAUAUAUAUGAGAACACAACUACCGCUACUGUAAUGUACAACUGCAAGCAUACAAGGAUAUCAAAAUUAUAGUAGCAAGACAACUGUAAAGAAAGAACUAGAAGUAUAUAUGCAACAACCGCUACUAUAGCUAUAUGCGUCAACCGGACGAGGAGUCCAAAAGUACCCAAUCUAAACCGCCGUGUCGGUCUAAGGACCUCAGACAAAAGCCACUAUCUGCUCACACUUGGCAUGUAACCCUAGCACAAAGAGAACACCGCUUGGCUCACGGGUCGGAUGUACGACCACUUUUCCGGAAAAGAACACCCUCCUGCGGGGGAUCAACCCGCUGGUGUACGUGAAAUGCACUCGAGCUGUGGCGAUCAAUGCGGAUAUGAUCAAUAGCCAACCGUCGGCAAUCAGCCGACAAUCACCGCCCCUUGGGGCUAAUCGACCGUGUAGGUCAUCAAGUAACAACGUGAACCGACCAAGAGAGGUCAAUAUACGGAAAGUAACGAACGACCAAACAGGUCACCGAUGCAAACAGGAGAACCGACCAACCAGGUCACAAGUAUAGUAUAUACGAAUGCCGUCUACUCUACCCCUAUACAGGAUACUACACAUAGAACAACUAGGCAGAGUAAAUAAAGAUAAUAUGUAGAUACUGCUCGAUGUCAACUAAAAGUACGAACGCAAGAACCGACCGAUAGGUCACAGGAGUGUAUUCGAUAUAGUCCAGAACUACCGUCAGCACCAGCCGACAAUCCUACCCCUCAGGGUACACCGACCUCAAAGGUCAUCGAACGACAGAAGUCAAGAAAUAGACCAACCCACUACAUAAUGCAACAACCGACCAACCAGGUCACCGAAACAAAGUGCGAGAACCGACCAAUCAGGUCACCGGUAUCAUAUAUGGAUAAACUACUCUAUUCCUACACAUAAUACUAAGCAUAGAAACAUAAGAGUAGAGUAUAAUAGAAACAACGGGGAUGCAAGCUCAAUAUACUAUGCGAUAGUAACAACAGAAGGGUAAGGGUAAGAAACCAUCACCAAGCGUGCACCACUGUACCGACGUCGGAUCGAAGUACCCACCUGUACGGAUGUCGCGUCUGUCUCCUGACUGCAAAAGAAAGUCGACAGAACCUAUAGAGGGUCCACCGGGUUAGUAUCUAACCCACAACUAAUAAUCACAGUAUCCACAACCCCACAAACGGUUCCACGAAGAUCGGUUUCCCCAAUACCGAUUACCGUAACUCGCCGGAAGUCCCGAAAACCACACUGGGACGCCGUCGGGACCCACUAAGUGUCCCGAAACUCACCGACUCGUGUCACGAGUCACCUGCUGCCCCAAAACACUCCAAUUUGGAUGUUUUGGCAGCAAACACAAGAUAACACCCCUACACAAUUAUCGCCGGAUAAUUGUACGAAUCCGGGUUCCCGAAAGUGUCUAUUUCGACACCGGAACCCUCCGUCGCUCACCUAUCAUCAUCGAACCUACAAAAUAAUGAUGGUGACCAGCCAACAAGGCUCAGCGACAAAACACAGAGCAAACAAACACUGUCGAAAAGAAUCCGAACCGAAAUCGCGUUCUUUCGACGAAUUUCGUCGAAAAACGCACCGAAAUCGACCUUUCGAUUUCCGCGAAAGCUACAGGAUCAUGGACACUCAGUCCAGAGGUCAAACACACACUUACACGCUGCCCACAGUAGCCACAAGGCGUACAAUUGCACAAAAGCCCCUAUGUUUACAUAAAAUCCAUUAUUUUAUGUAAAUCGGGCGACUCCUAUGACUCGUUCUCUCAAACUGAGGACCUCUAAGUUCCGCCGAGACACGUACUGACAGGUCUCGACGUGCCGGAGGCCGUGCUCACGGUCUGGAGCGCAACAGGUCACUGUGGGAAGCGCGGGAGCAACCCGAAGUUCUACGAACAGCGCGCAGUCGGGGAAGAUCGCGCCAAACAGGGCUGACCGGACACUGUUGAUCCAAAUUGAGGUGAGCAAUGUGAUCAGCACUGACCCACGAUCACCGUGCUCACCUCCGGAGGCAUCAGGACAGCCUCAGAUCGCCGGAUAAGCGUGCGCAAACCCAAAAACAGCAGCCAAACAGGCUUGACAGGGUCGACACUGCCGAAACAGCGGAACGGAGUCUCCCCGGCAAAAUCCAAGGUGAGCACGAUGAUCAGAAAUGAGUCACGAUCAUCGUGCUCCCUUCCGUAUUGAUCAGGGAGGCUCGGGAAGCUCAGAACACGAAUCCGUCCUAAACUAAGCCCUAUUUCGGGCUUGGCCGGAGCAAGGUUGCUCCGGCCGGCUUCCGGCAGCACGGCGGCAUGCGCGGCGGCCAGGGACGGGUGCGGGGGAGGUGAGGAGUACCGUGCUCACCUCGGUUGGCGGCUGGAAGCGGCGGCGGCGACGGCCAAUGAUGCCCUAGGCAUCCAAACCCGAAAAGGACACGGCUCGCUCCGGCCGACGAGGAGCUC